GUAAGACGAAAAGUCCCCAUUGAGCUUUACUAAAGACUUAUAUGGCUCGAAUAACUUAAAUAAAAAGUUUAGAUAAUGUGGGAUCUGUUUUUGGUUAAUGAGACACCACUCUUUUAUUUUAAGAGAACUAACCUUAUAGGGAGAAUGUAAGUUAGAUAGUUUGGUUGGGGCGACCACCUUUUAAAAGGUAACGAAGGUGAGCUUAAGGUCCGUAGUUAAUAGCUAGAGGCCUGACUGCAAGGGGGACAUCCCGAGCAGACACAUCCUUAAGGAUGUG
rnacentral:rRNA from 1 species